AAUGGAUCUUCUCAGAAGCAGUGGUGGAUUAAUUGUUCAAGGCAGGUUUAUGAACGUUGUUGUCUGUUGCAGGAUUAUUUGCCGUGCUUCGGGCUUUGGGGUCGAGUUUGAAGGCCUUCCCGACUCGCCCCCAUUAUCGAGAGACCACCGCGAGGACCACUGUGCUGCACGGCAAGGGCAUCUACAACCUGCGUCACUGAGGAAUCUAUGAAGCGAGCUUGAGUUACGUGGGAUCAUCGACGCCCGAGUUCCUGAGAUCAUCAAUGCCCGAGUUCCCAAGACCAUCGACACCCUUCAGCAUCUGCAGUGCCCUGAGCAGUUUUUUUUCUAAUUUCAGGGGGAACGCCGAGGGAAUCCAACUUUGCCUACCGGACCGUCUGAAGCGGCCUAUCUCGCAUGCAGACCAUUGAAUACCGUUUGAAGCUAAAUAUUUUUGGUCGAACUGAACCAGUAGGGGUGACUGAUUUUUCGAUGGGUUUUUCUUUCGUACAAGUAAUACUCUGUGGCUUGUCUCGGUGACGUUUCGGUGUUGCAAAUAUGCACCAAACACCAAAUGUCAUGGUAUUUAUUUGUCCCAUGGCAUUAUUUUUUGUCUUUUGACGGCUGCAGUUUAUAAGCACCUGCGAUGGUGACAUAAUUUGUUUCCACCUGCCGACACAAUUGCUGUUUUUAUCCCUGAACGGACAAUGUGGGAUAUCAGGUGAAAUCAAAUGUAUAUUGCUAUUGAACUAUCUGCUUAAAACUGCAUCUUUCUCUGGGCAUGGAAAUAGUUUUCGGCCCGUCCCUUAUUCACGUAUUAGAGAGUGGGAGACGUAUAUAAAGUAGAAUUCAUGCUGAAUUUAGGAAAUCGCGAAGCUGAAAUAAGAAGAAGAAAAGAAGAAAGUGCUCCAUGAACAUAGUUGUUGUGGGCUGCUGAACAGAUUUAGUUCUGGUUGUAGUGCUUGUUCGCAGGUUAUUUGCAUAAUUGUGUUCGUGGCCGCACUCAAUUUUGCAAAGGCGAAGGUUUUUCAUGCAAACAUUUCAACAUAUUUGUACGAAGAACACGCUUGCUCAACAUUGUGUGAGGCACUUACAGAAUUAUUUUAUGUCUCGCAAUAGGUGUUGUCUUGUCACUGCUGCUGUAUAGUUUAACUUCGGUAGUGCGAGGACAGGCUCCAGGACUUUCGUGUACAAUUCUUUCUGAUGGCGAAAAAUCAUUAGGGACGGUGCACGCGAAGCGGGGGCCCACAAAAAGGAGUACCCCUGCCUCGCCCAGCGCAUCGCAUCGCUCAUGACACCACGCUGCAAAGUUUGUUUACGAUUUGGUCCUGGAACAAGCCCUUUAGAAGGGCAGUCCUCGUACGAUUGGUCGCAUUUCUUCUUUGUCCUCGUUUUCCGAGGCUCUCGGCGCUGCUGUGACUGUUACGGGAGAGUGUUGUGGAUAGGUUUGGCAAAGUUCUCAAAACGUUAGUAAAUGCACGAAUUUGUGCGCUGCUUCGCAAAGGUGCAGCAGGACAAUGCACACCUAAGCGUCUAAGGUGCACAAAAUUUUGCAUCCACAAACGUCUGAUUGCAUUUGUCUGCAUCUCUCCACAAAUUUCCUUCCAGUAAUUUCCAUCAUGGUUGUUUGUGCACAACUUUGUACACGGUAAAAACGGUUCCUGGUUUUCCCAGGAGCUCCCUGGAAAUCGCCUACGUCUCUACCAUAGGCUUCCUGGGAAAACCAGGUUCCGUUUUACCGUGUACGGAAAUGAGCAAAUGCCUAAAAUGCCCAAAUGGGUGCGUUGCCAAGCAUACAAGUGAGCAUUUUGAUGUAGCACUUUGUGUGACUUCCGCACGAACUCGUGUAUUUUACACGCAUACUCAUUCCUUGCAAAGCUGGCCGAAAACAAACAGGUACAUAGGAAAGUGGUGUGGGGGAGACGUCCCAUAUUGCUUGUACCUAUCGUAAACCCUUACUACAAUUGUGUGCGAGGCCUCACAGUUUUUAUGUACGAAACACAAAAAUAUUCGUACUUAUUAGGAUGUGAAGUCGCACAACUUUGGGCGAAUUCACGCAGCAGUAAGUACGGAUUCUUCGUGGUUUGAAACAACAGUGAGGUCUCGUCCAAAAAUUGUGCAAUUACGCGUGUAAGGAGUUCUUAGAUCCUUGUCUCUUGUCACAUGUUCUAGGGUCGAGGUUGCUAGGUUCCUAACUUGAUGUUUUUGGUGGAUGAGGAUUGAGGGGCUCAAGAGAAUGACACCGAGAACUAAAUGCUUUGAGUUAAGCGUCAAUUGAUGCAGCGUUUGAUGACGUUUUCAUUGAACGUUUUCGUUGAAGUGCAAUGCCGUCUCAUUCAUUAGUAUAGGGCAUUUUCGGGACGCAUUGCACUUGGAAUCUCCGUGCAGACCCCCCGCCACUGCAGCGUGAGGAGAGGGGUAAGGAGAGGGCCAACGUGACAGGGUAGUUCCAACUGACCUUGUGAAUUCAACUGCAUUUUCAGCGGAUUCUGUGUUGAGUGCAUUAAUGAGAACUCCCCUAGGUGUGUACUCAGUCGACAAUGCACCUAACUCAGUGCGCUUUCACGAUGCAGUUGAGUUUCUUGUUCACAGGAGAAUACUUUGCUACUUUGCACCCGAGGUUUAAUGUAAGGUUAAGGGACGGGCCGAGUUUCCCUAUUUGUGUCACUACACUGUUUUCCAACGAGUGAGACCGACUUUGAUUGGACGCGAUUGACCCGUCUAAUUUGAGUCACAUUUGUUGGAUCGUAGCUUAAAUUUAAAACGAAUGUGACACGAAUUUACGAUUAACGCAUUUAGUAUCACUCACUUUGAAAACAGUGUACACUCAGCCAUAUUAUUGGGACAUUACUUUUUAAGCUUCAGACAAGGAGUGCGCAGGAUUUUCUUUAUUGCAGAAGGUUUCAAACGGUUGUUUAAUGGUCUGCGUGGAAGAUGAGUCGUAUCAUGACUGUUUUAAUGUAUUCUGAUGUUAGCUGAUUAAGUUAAUUUAUAAGCUACUAACGUGUCAGUUAAUUAUUGUGUUCACUUAUUUUGUGUUGUGACUGGGACUGCACUGGACUGAACUCUGUUUUAACAUCAACUGCCAUCACGAAACAUAAGAAGUAACUCACACUGUAACUUUUAACUGUGUAGGUGGUGAACACGAGGCAGGGCUCGAUGAGAGGUGAAAGUACUGUGAGCAGCCUGACAGCUUCUUUAGGUCCCUGUCCCUCAUCAUUAGGGCGAGGGCAUGUCCGAUCUCCAAGUAAAGGAGACGUGCCUCGCCGCGCUGAAUGUACUGCUUGAUUGGCGUUUCUUCCGGAGGACGCCACACGCCAUUCCGGCCCCGCGAGGCCGCGGUGGCGUGGGGUGCUGCUGGUGACCACCUCGCCGUGGUCGCCCUUCCCUUCCGAGAGGGAAUGGGUUCGGCUCUAGGCCGGCUGGCGGCGCUUUAUCAAUUCAGUGCCGCUUCCGCGUGAGGGUGCGUACCGCCGUGGCGAGUUCUGCUUGGCUGGCGCUUGCCACACUGCUCGGCGGCAAUUAGUGCUGCCGUCGUGGGGGCCUAGGUGGUGGAACACCGAGUGUUCACCCUCCCGCCCCCUAAGGGCGGUAGGGUUCUGGCUAGCCUAGUAGCCGGCCACCUCGGCCUUUGCCAAACGCAGGAAUCCCAUUGGUUUAGCUGUAAGGCCGCGGAGGUUUACUUGGCUGGCGUUUGCCACACUGCAAGGCACUCUGAGGGGUGCAAGUAUUUCAUCAUCCCUUUAAAUGGCCUCUACUGACCAGGAAAUGUGUCAGAGGAAGGCGCUAAAGUGGUGGUGCAUUAUUUGCACGUCAGCUUUGUGCCGUUCGUCGUGGGGGUCGAAGUGGCGGAACACCUCAGUGUUCACCCUCCACCCCCUAAGGGUGUGAGAGUUCGGGCCAGUCUAGCAGCCGGCCACUUCGGCCUUUGUCAACUGUAAACCUUUCAAAGCCAACGACGCAAACUGCAACGUGUUUCUACGCACUAAAUGUGUAGGUAGAAUUUUGUACGUGUAACUUACACGAUUUUUUGCAUACGUGGAGUUUGUAUAAAAUUGUAUGUAAAAAUGCAUAAGUCAGUGCAAAUUUAAGUACAAUUUUAUGUACAACUGUCCAUGGGGUUUAAAAUCAUGCAUUACGACGUACAAAAUUGUACACAAACAUUUAGCGAGUACUUGUUGCAUUAAACGGUUACUUUUAAUUGCACGAUGAGGUAAUUAAAAGUCAAAGCGGCUGUUUUUUUUUUUGGUGCUCUGCGAGGAGGAUGGCAUGGGUGGGCUAUUCGUUUGAGCACUUUGAUGUGGACUUAUUUCUGAUUACGUUGCAUUAGAGGUGUGGGGCCUCGUGUUUACCUUGUAUCUGCACACUUAAUGUCAUGGACCAUGUUUAGUCCCACGAGUUGGGCAAUUUUAAGCACAUCCGACGACAGUACAAAUUUGGUCCCGCCUGCUGCAAAUUGCACUUUCAUAAGACUAUUUGUUCCGCCUGGCAGACCCAAAAUUUUAUCACCAUCAGAUGUGCUUAAAUCUGCAUCAUCCAUGAUACGAGAAAAAAAAUCAACGACAUUUAGUGUGAUAAUCGCUCAAUUCGUUACAUCACUGCAUAUUAACACUUGCCAGAAAAUUCACCUUACUGACAGCGACGACAUGCAUAGUAUUUAUAAAAGCCUUAUGUUAGCAUUGUUACAUCUCGUAGUGUAAUUUCUUGAUGUUUUUGUCAGCCCAACUCCACCAAUGUUCUUUUUUCGCGUAGUUUUUUCAGGUUUCGCCGUUACUUGUAAUUUUGAAAUGUCAUUUAAUGUUUGUUGUAAUUUUGAUGUUUCCUGAAAAGAAAAAUACCUUUUGUUGCA